rnacentral:rRNA from 1 species
UACGUAGGGGGCAAGCGUUAUCCGGAAUUACUGGGUGUAAAGGGAGCGUAGGCGGUAUGAUAAGCCAGAUGUGAAAGCCCGAAGCUUAACUUCGUGGAUUGCAUUUGGAACUAUCAAACUAGAGUACAGGAGAGGUAAGUGGAAUUCCUAGUGUAGCGGUGAAAUGCGUAGAUAUUAGGAAGAACACCAGUGGCGAAGGCGACUUACUGGACUGAAACUGACGCUGAGGCUCGAAAGCGUGGGGAGCGAA